CGAAUGCGCAUGUUGCAACCAUCCGCCACAAAUGUUCAACUAGUACAGCUCCGGAGGAAAUGCGGCAACACGGCGACCGGAAUGAACUGUCAACGUGAGGGCUGUCAACGAUCACUCACUUCUUCACGCCCAAUUUACUCGACUUAAUGUUUUAAUCUUUGCUAUUUUUUUUUAGUUUGUACGUUUAGGAUAAAUAAAUAGUUUUCAUAAAAAAAUAGAAA